rnacentral:rRNA from 1 species
UACGGAGGGGAGCUAGCGUUGUUCGGAAUUACUGGGCGUAAAGCGCACGUAGGCGGCUUUUUAAGUCAGGGGUGAAAUCCCGGGGCUCAACCCCGGAACUGCCCUUGAAACUGGAGAGCUAGAAUCUUGGAGAGGCGAGUGGAAUUCCGAGUGUAGAGGUGAAAUUCGUAGAUAUUCGGAAGAACACCAGUGGCGAAGGCGACUCGCUGGACAAGUAUUGACGCUGAGGUGCGAAAAGCGUGGGGGAGCAAACAGG